GAUGAACGCUGGCGGCGCGCCUAACACAUGCAAGUCGAACGAUUAAAGCACCUUCGGGUGUGUAUAAAGUGGCGAACGGCUGAGUAACACGUGGGCAACCUGCCCCUUUCAUUGGGAUAGCCACGGGAAACCGUGGAUAAUACCGAAUACUUCGAGACUUCCGCAUGGAAGACUCGAGAAAGCUCCGGCGGAGAGGGAUGGGCCCGCGGCCUGUUAGCUUGUUGGUGGGGUAACGGCCUACCAAGGCAAUGAUGGGUAGCUGGGUUGGGAGACCGACCAGCCAGAUUGGGACUGAGAAAAGGCCCAGACUCCUACGGGAGGCAGCAGUGGGGAAUCUUGCACAAUGGGCGAAAGCCUGAUGCAGCGACGCCGCGUGCGGGAUGAAGGCCUUCGGGUUGUAAACCGCUUUCAGCAGGGACGAGGCGAAAGUGACGGUACCUGCAGAAGAAGCCCCGGCUAACUACGUG
rnacentral:rRNA from 1 species